UAAGGAAUCUUCGGCAAUGGACGAAAGUCUGACCGAGCAACGCCGCGUGAGUGAAGAAGGUUUUCGGAUCGUAAAACUCUGUUGUUAGAGAAGAACAAGGACGUUAGUAACUGAACGUCCCCUGACGGUAUCUAACCAGAAAGCCACGGCUAACUACGUGCCAGCAGCCGCGGUAAUACGUAGGUGGCAAGCGUUGUCCGGAUUUAUUGGGCGUAAAGCGAGCGCAGGCGGUUUCUUAAGUCUGAUGUGAAAGCCCCCGGCUCAACCGGGGAGGGUCAUUGGAAACUGGGAGACUUGAGUGCAGAAGAGGAGAGUGGAAUUCCAUGUGUAGCGGUGAAAUGCGUAGAUAUAUGGAGGAACACCAGUGGCGAAGGCGGCUCUCUGGUCUGUAACUGACGCUGAGGCUCGAAAGCGUGGGGAGCAAACAGG
rnacentral:rRNA from 1 species